rnacentral:rRNA from 1 species
CAGUCGCCACGGGAAUACAGAGGAUGCAAGCGUUAUCCGGAAUGAUUGGGCGUAAAGCGUCUGUAGGUGGCUUUUCAAGUCCGCCGUCAAAUCCCCGGGCUCAACCCUGGACAGGCAGUGGAAACUACCAAGCUGGAGUACGGUAGGGGCAGAGGGAAUUUCUGGUGGAGCGGUGAAAUGCGUAGAGAUGUGGAGGAACACCAGUGGCGAAGGCGACUCUCUGGUCUGUAACUGACGCUGAGGAGCGAAAGCGUGGGGAGCGAACAGGAUUAGAUACCCCUGUAGUCCCUGUCUCUUAUAC